CUGUUUACAGAGACUAGAAAGAAAUUUUAUUCUGUUUUAUCCACUUUACUCUAUAUAAAUAGAAAAAUCCUCUUAUCUGUCCAUUGAAGGUUAAUUCUACUCAAGGAUACAGAGAAAGGAAAAUUAAGCACUGAAGUGCAAAUGCAAUAUCCUCACGAGGGAAUCGCAGUCUAUUACACCGGAAUUACUUGUAUAUGAAAUAAAAACAAUUCACGGAAAUCAAGACGUGUUUACAGGAAAGCUUAUCGAUCUUUACCCGUGAAGGGCACAUCUGGAUAUCUGAUAAUUUACUACCAGGGGUUAUGAGAUGGAUUACUGAUCGUUAUCUUUGCCAUUCAGGUGCACGUUGUGAUUAUUUCCAUGAAACAAUGUCGAUUACACUCGAACUAAUCUACAUUUAUAUAAAUAACGGUAUCUGUGAUAGAGUGACUUAUUUUCUAUAGUAGAUAAGUAAAUAAGUCAAAACAGUUUUCAAGAAAUAUCAAAUUAAGUGUUGAUUGUGUUAUUUUAUUCAGAUAUGCAAUGGAGUCAUAAGUAAUUCAUCAUUGGAACAUUGUAUCUGACCCAUGAAUGAUUCACAGAACAAAGAAUGAAAUAAGCAUUUUACAACGAUACAUUGUUAUCCUUCUGUUUCCCGUUGCUAGUUUUCUCAAAUAAAGAACAAUCAUUUAUGCCUCCUCAGCAGAACAUCGUUUAUUUGAUCAUAUAAUUGAAAUCAUAACAAUUGAUCAGUAUGAGAAAGUUGACAUUAAAAACGUUGUCAGCAUGAAAGACAAUUACCAUUAAGUAAUAUGUUGACGUUGCUACCGUAUGGAUUUGAAACAUGGAAAAUUAAUAAAGGGAUGAAAAGAUUAUUGAUGUGUUUCUUAAUAACAGCUUGAGGAGAAUUUUUAAAAAUUGAAUGGCAGGAGAAACUAAUGUAAUCUGAAUUACUAGAAAGAUCAGACAUGAAACCCCUUACUCCAAGAAAUUAGGUACAGAAGAUUGAAAGUCAUGUAACACAUCCUCAGAAAAAACCAUAGCAAUGGCUGCGAAAAAGCUCUGUCUUGGACACCAGAAGGAAAGACUAGAAAUCACCGAGAAGAACGGUGAAGAAGGAGAUGGCGGGGAACGGAUGGUUUUCUCGGGCUGAGGCGAGGUUGUAGACGUUUCGCGGAUGCUUUAUUUACCAUACUUUUAGGCACAAGCGGAUAUGUAUCAUAGGUAAGCUACCGUCAGGCGAGCGCAGCUAGAUAUUCUAUAUAACUCAAACAAUUUAUAUUAUACAUGUACUCUUGUUUAUCUGAUACCUAAUACUUCUGAUACCAAAACAAUUUAGGCAUUUGAUGUGCAUAUUCAUUCAACGCGGGAAAUAUAACGCAUUCGAUGUAAACUGUAUUUUGACGUCAUAUUUAGCUUAUAUUUUUUUCUUUCAAUCCAAGUAAUGAUAAAUAAAACAAUACAAAUGUAUGAGAAAACUGCUCUGGUUAUUAAAACUUUCCUGACAGUUUAAUUAAUCUAUGAUUUUUUCGCAAUCAGAAUCCCUCGGAUGUCUCGCACUCUCAACAUACAUGUUGGUAUUUUCGAUGCGCAGUGACGGCGACAUUUUUCCAAAGCACUUUUAGUAAUCCUCAAUUUUUCAGUUGAGCAAAUCACGUGAAUCACGUGUGUAAUAAUUGGUGGGCGCUUUGGCGUAACUUUAAAUAGGUAAAAAAAAAAAGUAAGAAUACAUAUAUACACAUCUUAUAUUCGUAUUCAUAGAAACUCAUAAACUCGUCCAUCUAUUUAGUCGUAUCAUUGUUUCCUAUAUAAAAGCCUAGAGGCUAAAAUAUAUUACAAUAAUAAUCAUACAAUUAGUUUUCAUCAAAUUGAGUGUUUAAUUUCACAAACUACACGUAAAAGUCUUGUAUUUAUUGGGAAUCAAAUUUAAAAUUCAAAUAAUUGUUGAAGCAACUGAAGAAUCAAUGACUUGGAAUUCCUUGUGUGGCUUUACGCGAAUUGAAAGUAUAGAAUGUACAAUGUAGUUUAUCCCCAUGAUUUCUCAAUUAAGUCCAGAAUAUCCAGAGAGAGGUAAUACGUUUUAACUUCUGAACAUGAUAGAACAUUCACAAGUCCCUUUACUUUUAGGAAUUUCAUAUUUGUACCCAUUACAACCAAAUAAGCCAAAACAUAUAUACAAACCCAUGCAUCCAUUUUUGUUUUCUCCAUCAGGUGUCCAUAAAACUUUUACGUUUGUCUGUCAGUUAGAUUUAAGUAUUUUACAUGAAAAGACAGUAAAAGGCAAAAUAAUAUCAAAUGUAAUUAUAUGUUAGCAUUGAAUUAAGUUUAGAUGUAAAAAAAAAAAAAAAAAAAAAAAAAAGAGA